rnacentral:rRNA from 1 species
UACGUAGGUGGCAAGCGUUGUCCGGAUUUACUGGGCGUAAAGCGAACGCAGGCGGACCUUUAGGUAGGAAGUGAAAGGUUGGAGCUCAACUCUAACACUGCUCCCUAUACUGGAGGUCUUGAGUGCCGGAGAGGAAGACGGAACAAGUUGUGUAGCGGUGAAAUGCGUUGAUAUAACUUGGAACACCAAUGGCGAAAGCAGUCUUCUGGACGGAUACUGACGCUCAGGUUCGAAAGCCAAGGUAGCAAACAGG